rnacentral:rRNA from 1 species
ACGGAGGGAGCUAGCGUUGUUCGGAAUUACUGGGCGUAAAGCGCACGUAGGCGGCUACUCAAGUCAGAGGUGAAAGCCCGGGGCUCAACCCCGGAACUGCCUUUGAAACUAGGUAGCUAGAAUCUUGGAGAGGUCAGUGGAAUUCCGAGUAAGGAGGUGAAAUUGGUAGGUAUUGGGGAGGAGAGGAGAGGGGGAGGGGAGAAAAUGGAAUAGUAUUCCCCCGUAGUUGGGUGAGCGUGUCGAGCAAAAAG